rnacentral:rRNA from 1 species
GACGAACGCUGGCGGCGUGCCUAAUACAUGCAAGUAGAACGCUGAAGGAGGAGCUUGCUUCUCUGGAUGAGUUGCGAACGGGUGAGUAACGCGUAGGUAACCUGCCUGGUAGCGGGGGAUAACUAUUGGAAACGAUAGCUAAUACCGCAUAAUAGUAGAUGUUGCAUGACAUUUGCUUAAAAGGUGCAAUUGCAUCACUACCAGAUGGACCUGCGUUGUAUUAGCUAGUUGGUGGGGUAACGGCUCACCAAGGCGACGAUACAUAGCCGACCUGAGAGGGUGAUCGGCCACACUGGGACUGAGACACGGCCCAGACUCCUACGGGAGGCAGCAGUAGGGAAUCUUCGGCAAUAGACGGAAGUCUGACCGAGCAACGCCGCGUGAGUGAAGAAGGGUUUCGGAUCGUAAAGCUCUGUUGUAAGAGAAGAACGAGUGUGAGAGUGGAAAGUUCACACUGUGACGGUAGCUUACCAGAAAGGGACGGCUAACUACGUG